GGCUCGGUGGCGGAGGGUCCGUGUCUGCAUUACAUGAAUUCUCUGCAUUUCUUCAAGGCAGAAGAUCCCCGUUCGACUCGGGGUCGAGCCA